UGAGGGGUUUGGGGUGUGAUGGACUGAAAUGUCGACCAGUCUAGACCAGCAUAGGCUGCCAAUGGACUGGCGUGACAACCUGGCUUUCAAGGAAAUAAAGGACUGCCUGAAAAGUAUGAGGGUGAAAGGCAAAUUAUCUGCUUCCCAUUUGGCCCCAGUUUUAAAUUGAUCAAGGACGUGCUUUUAUAAAACCUUAUGGCAACACAAACAGGCUUCCACAGUUUGUACUUUAACACAGUUGCUUAAAAGCCACAUUGCCACAAAAUUCCAGUAGAAAUAUGUUUUGAAGCAAACAAAUAGUGCCCACGUGGGGGGGUGUAAAAGUUGUAGGCUGCAGCAAGCAGGACCUGAAAGUGAAACUGACCAUAAGCAAAACAGGAUUCACUUUUAUUGUUAUGCACAUUGUGGGGACACCCACAGUAAGUUAGGCGCUUUCCAAACACAGAGGAAGACAGUCCCAGCCACAAAGAGCUUACAGUGUGAAAACGACAAACUAUAAAGGAAAGGGAUGUAGUACACAAGCAGAAUGAUGAAUUGUGUGUUUCGCUGUAGCUUAUUUUUAGAUUUCCCUCUGAUCAUCCUCUCACAGGUUAGCCCUCUCUGCUUUCCCCACAGCAUUUCCCACCUUCAUAUCUAGUGGUCUUUUAUGCCCCUCUGUACUUGUUACCUCCCUCAUAAAGAUGACCCUAUUCAAUCAUGUAAUAAGUAAGUAGAUGGCUUAGGCCCAGAUCCUAUAGACUUUUAAACUUUGCAGGCUUAGAGACUUAAUAAACUGAAAAUUAUACCGAGCUAACUCUAUGAAUUAGCGUUGUGAUUGUUUUAAGUAGUUAUACCAGUACAAACCUAUUGUGGACACAGUCGUAUCAAUAUAAAGAUGUAGCUUAUUGGUUUUCCUGUGUGGAAAUGUGAUAUUGGUAUAAGCACUUUUAUACCAUCAUAACUGUCAUAAGAGGAGAGUUGUACUGCUUUAACUAUACCAGUGUAGUUCAAGCAGUUUAGACAAAUCCUAAAAUAGUUUCCUGUGAGUGUGUGGCAGAAUUUUAUCUGCAGGAGGGAUUUAAGAAAGGAGAAGGAAGUGGUUUUGUGGGCUGAUCCCAAAAGGGUGGUUUUUCUUGAAACUUUAUUUCGUGUUUGUGGGAAUUUUGAAAGCAUGCUCAUGCCAUUGUUUUUAUUUCUAAAUUAACCAGCUUUUCAGUUUCUGCAGGUUUUUAAAAAUAAUUUUUCCCUGUUCAAAAAUCAACAGCUUUCAAAAAAUGAAAUUAUCAAAUUUCUAAUUUUUUUUAAUGUGUAUAUAAAAUAGAUCCGAUUUUUGCAUUAUAGACCCCUCUUCUUUUUUCAGUUGGUCAUAAGUUGCUGGGACGGAGAGGGAGAAUGUUUGGGGCUGAAACUUUCCAGGUUUAGGCUUAGCUCUAAAGCCUUACAACAACUGUGGUUUCUGAAAGCCUCUAAGCAAAAGUCAUCCUCAACCUCAAGCCUCUCAAGCACUGAACCAGUCCGUCCUAGUGAUGGCUGCUUGGGGAAGGUACAGCAGCCAGAAGAAUAAACCACUGGAGCAGCAGCUCAGCUGAGAGAAGUGCUGUUCCUUUAAGGACUGGAAAGAAAACAAAGCGCUCACGUAGGCUGCAGCUCAGCAGCAGGAUGAGGUCACCUCUGCGCAUGUAAUGUAGCAUGCAAGCAAAUUAACUGCUCAGGCACAGCAAACAACAAGCCAGGCUGCAGGGAGACCAGUUUGAUUUGCAGACAGAUUUCAGCUUUAAGCUUCCACGUUAUUAAUGGCUCAUCUAAGUGAAAGGGAUUCAUAUUAGAAGAUUAUUUUUAAUACUUUGCAAUGCUAUUCCCCUCAUCCAGAGAUCCCAAAGUGAUUUAGAAAUUUAAGUAACCGAAUGUGAUAGCAGCCAUCCUCGACGUAGGUAUUGCAAUCCCCACUUUUACAGAGGCACAGAGAGGAUUAGAUUUAAAGUUUACAAGAAGCCUGCAGCAAAGCCACCUGUGGAAAGAACCCAGAUUUCCUGCCUUCAAGUCCUGUGGUUUAACCACAAGAUUAUAGUUCUUCUUAAGCAUUGACAGUGCUGCCCCUUUAACAAAUCACUGUCCGCAUUAAUUUCAUAUAACCACUAAUCUUAAAUGACACACAAA